rnacentral:rRNA from 1 species
GAUCGUUUAUCGGAUUCUGGGCGUAAGCGCACGCAGGCGGUUUGUUAAGUCAGAUGUGAAAUCCCCGGGCUCAACCUGGGAACUGCAUUUGAUACUGGCUAGCUAGAGUCUCGUAGAGGGGGGUAGAAUUCCAGGUGUAGCGGUGAAAUGCGUAGAGAUCUGGAGGAAUACCGGUGGCGAAGGCGGCCCCCUGGACUAACACUGACGCUCAGGUGCGAAAGCGUGGGGAGCAAACAGGAUUAGAUACCCUGGUAGUCCACGCUGUAAACGAUGUCUAUUUGGAGGUUGUGCCCUUGAGGCUUGGCUUCCGGAGCUAACGCGUUAAAUCGACCGCCUGGGGAGUACGGCCGCAAGGUUAAAACUCAAAUGAAUUGACGGGGGCCCGCACAAGCGGUGGAGCAUGUGGUUUAAUUCGAUGCAACGCGAAGAACCUUACCUACUCUUGACAUCCAGAGAACUUUCCAGAGAUGCUUUGGUGCCUUCGGGAACUCUGAUACAGGUGCUGCAUGGCUGUCGUCAGCUCGUGUUGUGAAAUGUUGGGUUAAGUCCCGCAACGAGCGCAACCCUUAUCCUUUGUUGCCAGCGAGUCAUGCGGGAACUCUUAGGAAACUGGCCGUGAUCAACUGGAAGAAAGUGGGGAUCAACUCCAGUCAUCCUGGGCCUUACCAGUAAGGCUUCACCCCUGCUACCAUGGCAUAUACAAAAGAGAAUCCACCUCACCAGAGCGAUGCUACCUCAUAAAGUAUGAUCUAAUCCCGAUUUUGAAUCUGCCACUCUCACUUCCUGGAAUCUCGAAUCCUAUAUAUCUCUAGAUAUCAAUGCUACGCGUGAAUACACUUCUCCCGGGCCUUGUGCACCACGC